rnacentral:rRNA from 1 species
GCACAAGCGGUGGAUGAUGUGGUUUAAUCGAUGCAACGACGAAAACCUUACCACCUUUGACAUGUACGGAACCUUUAGAGAUAGGGGUGCUCGAAAGAGAGCCGUAACACAGGUGCUGCAUGGCUGUCGUCAUCUCGUGUCGUGAGAUGUUGGGUUAAGUCCCGCAACGAGCGCAACCCUUGUCAUUAGUUGCUACAUUCAGUUGGGCACUCUAAUGAGACUGCCGGUGACAAGCCGGAGGAAGGUGGGGAUGACGUCAGGUCCUCAUGGCCCUUAUGACCUGGGCUACACACGUGCUACAAUGGUUGGUACAACGAGUUGCGAGUCGGUGACGGCGAGCUAAUCUCUUAAAGCCAAUCUCAGUUCGGAUUGUAGGCUGCAACUCGCCUACAUGAAGUCGGAAUCGCUAGUAAUCGCGGAUCAGCACGCCGCGGUGAAUACGUUCCCGGGCCUU